CUACUAGGGGUGACGAGCGGCGGACGGGUGAAUAAUGUCUGGGAAACUGCCUGAUGGAGGGGGAUAACUACUGGAAACGGUAGCUAAUACCGCAUGACCUCGCAAGAGCAAAGUGGGGGACCUUCGGGCCUCACGCCAUCGGAUGUGCCCAGAUGGGAUUAGCUAGUAGGUGAGGUAAUGGCUCACCUAGGCGACGAUCCCUAGCUGGUCUGAGAGGAUGACCAGCCACACUGGAACUGAGACACGGUCCAGACUCCUACGGGAGGCAGCAGUGGGGAAUAUUGCACAAUGGGCGCAAGCCUGAUGCAGCCAUGCCGCGUGUGUGAAGAAGGCCUUCGGGUUGUAAAGCACUUUCAGCGAGGAGGAAGGCCAGUGACUUAAUAAGUGACUGGAUUGACGUUACUCGCAGAAGAAGCACCGGCUAACUCCGUGCCAGCAGCCGCGGUAAUACGGAGGGUGCAAGCGUUAAUCGGAAUUACUGGGCGUAAAGCGCACGCAGGCGGUUUGUUAAGUCAGAUGUGAAAUCCCCGAGCUUAACUUGGGAACUGCAUUUGAAACUGGCAAGCUAGAGUCUUGUAGAGGGGGGUAGAAUUCCAGGUGUAGCGGUGACCUGCGUAGAGAUCUGUUAGGAGUAUGGAUGGCGAGGGCAUCUCACCUGUGUCAUGCACUGACG
rnacentral:rRNA from 1 species